ACUGGUGCAGUGAUUGUAACGUAAAUUCCUCGUUCUGAAUGCUGUAGAAAUCGGCAUGACAGACUCGAUUUACACCCAUAGAAUAUGAGCACCA